GAUGAACGCUGGCGGCGUGCCUAAUACAUGCAAGUCGAGCGAACAGACGAGGAGCUUGCUCCUCUGACGUUAGCGGCGGACGGGUGAGUAACACGUGGAUAACCUACCUAUAAGACUGGGAUAACUUCGGGAAACCGGAGCUAAUACCGGAUAAUAUAUUGAACCGCAUGGUUCAAUAGUGAAAGACGGUUUUGCUGUCACUUAUAGAUGGAUCCGCGCCGCAUUAGCUAGUUGGUAAGGUAACGGCUUACCAAGGCAACGACGCGUAGCCGACCUGAGAGGGUGAUCGGCCAGACUGGAACUGAGACACGGUCCAGACUCCUACGGGAGGCAGCAGUAGGGAAUCUUCCGCAAUGGGCGAAAGCCUGACGGAGCAACGCCGCGUGAGUGAUGAAGGUCUUCGGAUCGUAAAACUCUGUUAUUAGGGAAGAACAAAUGUGUAAGUAACUAUGCACGUCUUGACGGUACCUAAUCAGAAAGCCACGGCUAACUACGUG
rnacentral:rRNA from 1 species